rnacentral:lncRNA from 1 species
UGAUGGAGCUGGGGGAUCCUGGGGGAGCACAGAUCUCAGUUAAAAUACUCAAAGCUCAUUUCCAGUUAGUGCCCACCCAGCUGCUCUGCACACGAGGGUGUCCUUCCUCAGGCAGAAGUGUUUGGGGGCAAGUGGAGAUGAACUUUUGUUGAUUUUUUUGUUCCUGUUUGGAAGCUUAACACUGUGACAGCAGCUCCAGAUCAGCAUCUUGGCACUCAGUUCUGCUUGGACAUCUGUUGCCAAAAAAGCAAAUAUUUAGAGGAGGGAGAAGAUGUAGCCAAGGAUGGUGGAUUUCAGCACAUACUGAGAUAAGAAAAGGGCACGAGUGGUCACUGACACGUGUUGUAGUAGGCAAAACAUGCAGAGAAUGUUUUACCUUAUGAGAACAGAGCCUUCUGAUGUGCAUUGAAGUUGGACAUCCAGAAGCUGAAGAAUCAGCUGUAUUAAACUGUAUUUCUUAGGUCAGUAUUUAUAGAGCCUGACAUUUUAAGUGCAGUCUUUGUUUUAAGACAGCCAUGAAGUAAAGAGAAGCUUUCGUCUUCUCACAGAAGCUUCAUGAAGCUUGUAGUUGCCAGUUUGGUUGGGAUAGUGUUACUUUAAUAAAGUUUAUUUUUUUUAAAUGUAGUUGCUGAGGCCAUUCAAAACCAGCAGAUUCUGGAAUGUUUUCCUGCUGAGUCACUGCUUAUUCUGGGAAACUCUGAAGGGAGAGAUACUGGAUGUGGGAGACUAAUGCUUUUAAAUCUACUCAUAAUUAAUAAUGGUUGGAACUUUCCCAUGACACUGCAGCUUCUUUAGAAUUAGCCUGAUGUGUUGGAAUGCAGAUAUCAAUUCUGUUGCCUAACAGCUGUACCCCAAUGCCUUCACAGGUGGGGAUGGUUACUGCGAAUAAGACUCUAAUUGCAGUAUUCCAGAGCCACCUCCAAACCCUCCUCCCGAGCCUCCUGCAGAGCUGGGCAGAGAGCUGCACACCCACCUGCUGCUGGACAUUGACAAUGACACGGAGAGCACGGCGCUGUGACCGCGCUGCGGCGCCGCCUUCCAGCUCCUGGCAACCCCAGACCGACCAGGGAAAGGCUUCUUCUGGCAGCGGGCACAGCUGGGCACAGCUGGCAGGGGGCCUCUGGCACUCAGCUCCAGGCUGGCACAGCUCAGAGCAGACCUGUCAGCAAAUGGAGCCCAGCCUUUGGCCGGGUUUCGCCCUCAGAAGAAGUUUAAUGAUCUGGGUCUGGACAACGGUUUUCAAACUCUUGGAUGGAAGGAAUGAAUUCCUGCAGGAGCUCGCCUAGGAAGCGUGGUCAGUGCUGAUACAGGUGGUAUGAGCAGAAAUUCCAAAAGAAUAAGAAGCAGAACGUUAGUUAUUUAAAGUGCAUGUCUGUAUUAGGGAAAUAAUCCUUCUCACGGCACCGUUAGAGGUUCUUUGUAGUUCUUAGCCCGUCCCAGGAGCUGCCUCCAAGGGACAUUGCCUCUCUCCCAAGGGACAUCCCCUCUCUCCCAAGGGACAUUCCCUCCCGGAUUUGCUGCAGAUUCCCCUCAAGCCAUGAACCAAACCCUGCCCCAGUGCUGGUGGUGACUGCUGGUUCUCAGUCACCUGUGGAACUGUGGAUGCAUCCAGUGCCUUGAAGGACUGUCGUGCUGUAGGAGGAACUUCUGUCUCUUUAAUCAUUUCAUUGCUACGUAGGAGCAGUACUUACCCUGAUUUCAUAGUUAUUUGUAUUAACCUGCUUUGUUCAUGUGCAACUGGCAACUGUUUCACGAGGAAACCGUGGAAAUGGGGUUUGUGCUUUUGUUGAAAACGGUUGAAUUUUGAAAGAACUUUGAAACAGCUGUUUGGAUUCAGAAGUUGAGUGAACAUUUAUAAAAUUAAAGAUUGUUUUUUGUCAACUUAAGGCAUCUUUAUUCUAGUUUUGUUGCUUCCACUGGGUCCUGAAGGUCACGGUGAUCCCCUGCGCUGUGUAGCUUGGAGUCACUGGCUGCUCAGCUUGGUUUUGCCUUAAGGACCUCAGUGGGAGCACUGUGAGACCCUCCUUUGUUACCACACCAGCCCUGUAACAAAUCUUUAACUCUAAAUUCAGCUUGGAGAGCCACAGACUCCAGUGCUGUGACUGAUUUUGAUGUUUAUCCCCCAGAGUGUCAGUGCCUCUCUCCCCCAGGGUUUCCAGCAGCAGUUCACAGGCUCAGGCAGGAUCCCCCAGAGCCAAUUCCCUUUGUGUGGUUUAACAGGAGGAUUUCCUGGCUCUGUGGGCUGCUGCAGGUUCCCAGGUGCUCCUGCCUGCUCUCACUGUCACUGCCUGCACAGGGGGUGAGGUUUGCUGUGACCCUGCAGGAUUUAUUGAGUGCUGGAGAGGGGAGCAGGAGCCAGGGCAGCUGAGGGGCUCCAGGAGGAGCCUCCUCCAACCUGGCCAUGGGGCCCAGAGCUCUUGGCAGCCCCCCAAUCCCACAGACUCCAGGCAGGCAGGGACCAAAAAUCUCACUCUUUAAUGUUUCUCUGCAGCUGCACAAGGCCCAGGGCCAGGGAUGGUGCCCAGGGCCAGGGAUGGUGCCCAGCCCAGGGAUCUCCACUGAGGCACUCCCUGAAAGGCUCUGGGUGCCCAGGCCAUGAGGGGCUGGCCCUGGGCACCCCUGCCCUGGCACACCUGGUGGGUUUGGCUGGUGUAGGUCCUUCAGGUGCCCCCAGCAGCAGUUGUGGGGCGGUUUCCAUGCUGGUGCUGGUGCUGCCAUUGGAGUGUCAGUGGUGGUACCUCAGCCAGAGCUCCCAGACAGGUCCAUGAGCACUCACUGCACACAGGGAAGGAGCUGAACGGGCACAGCUGAGCCAGAGGCACAGCAGAGCACAGAGAACAGCCCUGGGCUCUGCUCUGGGCACUCGAGGUGUCACUGCUGUCCCCCAAGGCCAGAGGAGCUGAACCAGAGGAGGACCCAAGGGGUCGUAGCUGGUUAUCAAGGCAUAAAUAGGAAGAGAUUCCAGGCUUCCUGAAUUCCAGGCAGUGCUCUAAGGCCAAAGAGCAAAAUUAAAUAUUUAAAAUAACCAAACCAACCUUCCUCAGCUGGUUGGUGCCAGGUGGGGUCUGGCAGUGCCAGUGCCAAGCGCUCUGCCCAGGCACAGCCAGGCCCCCAUUAGAAAUAAGGAAAAUAUUAUGUCUUUAAAAUAUCUUAAAUAAAGAAAUAAAAUUUAGAAAGCA